GUGCUCACUUUGGCAGGACAUAUACUAAAACUGGAAUGAUACAGAGAAGAUUGACAUGGCCUUUGCACAAGGAUAACACGUAAAUUCAUGAAGUGUUCCAUGUUUUU